GAUGAACGCUGGCGGCGUGCCUAAUACAUGCAAGUCGAGCGAAGCGGGGACGGGUGAGUAACAUGUGGAGAACCUCCUAUAAGACUGGGAAAACUUCGGGAAACCUGAUCUAAACCGGAUACUUAUAGACGGAUCCGAGCUGCAUUAGCUAGUUGGUAGGUUCACGGCUUCCCAAGGCGACGAAGCAUGGCGGACCUGACAGUGGGACCGGCCACACUGGAACUGAGACACGGUCCAGACUCCUACGGGAGGCAGCAGGAGGGAAGAUUCCGCAAUGGGCGAAAGCCUGAUGGAGCAAGGCCGCGUGAUUGAUGAAGGCCUUCGGAUUGUAAAACUCUUUCAGUGGGGAAGCGGUACCUGCUCAGGAAGCAACGGCUAACUCCGUGCCAGCAGCCGCGGUAAUUC
rnacentral:rRNA from 1 species